UCCUCUGGUGUGCAGACACAUGGGGCAGA
rnacentral:piRNA from 1 species